UACGUAGGGUGCAAGCGUUGUCCGGAACUAUUGGGCGUAAAGAGCUCGUAGGCGGUUUGUUGCGUCGGCUGUGAAAUCCCGAGGCUCAACCUCGGGUCUGCAGUCGAUACGAGCAAACUAGAGUGUUGCAGGGGAGACUGGAAUUCCUGGUGUAGCGGUGAAAUGCGCAGAUAUCAGGAGGAACACCGGUGGCGAAGGCGGGUCUCUGGGCCGAUACUGACGCUGAGGAGCGAAAGCGUGGGGAGCGAACAGG
rnacentral:rRNA from 1 species